rnacentral:rRNA from 1 species
GUUGGGACUCUUGAAGUCUUAGUGGCGCAGCUAACGCACUAAGUAGACCGCCUGGGGAGUACGGCCGCAAGGUUAAAACUCAAAUGAAUUGACGGGGGCCCGCACAAGCGGUGGAGCAUGUGGUUUAAUUCGACGCAACGCGAAGAACCUUACCUGGCCUUGACAUGCAGAGAACUUUCCAGAGAUGGAUUGGUGCCUUCGGGAACUCUGACACAGGUGCUGCAUGGCCGUCGUCAGCUCGUGUCGUGAGAUGUUGGGUUAAGUCCCGUAACGAGCGCAACCCCUAUCCCUAGUUGCUAGCAGUUCGGCUGAGAACUCUAGGGAGACUGCCGGUGACAAACCGGAGGAAGGUGGGGAUGACGUCAGGUCAUCNUGGCCCUUACGGCCAGGGCUACACACGUGCUACAAUGGUGCGUACAGAGGGCUGCAAACCCGCGAGGGGGAGCUAAUCUCACAAAACGCAUCGUAGUCCGGAUCGGAGUCUGCAACUCGACUCCGUGAAGUCGGAAUCGCUAGUAAUCGCGAAUCAGAAUGUCGCGGUGAAUACGUUCCCGGGCCUUGUACACACCGCCCGUCACACCAUGGGAGUGGAUUGCACCAGAAGUGGUUAGUCUAACUUCGGGAGGACGAU